rnacentral:lncRNA from 1 species
AUUCCUUUUUAUUAAAUAUGAACCACUCUGUAUUUUCAUAAACAGAUAGAAAAUGGUACAGGUAUGUUUAAUUCUAUUAAAAUAACGACUUUGGAUGUUUUUCAGUCACAUGGCAACUGUUGUUAAGUAAAAGAAAGUAAUGUUCCUUAAAAGGAGUUAUCUCCCUUAGACCAUUUUGAAUAAAAAAGAAAUCAAAUUUACUCAAAAUCAGGACUAGGCUACAUAUUUUAUUUUUGAUAUUUUUGAAAGAAAAUAUAUUCUCUUUAGUUUGCAUGUAACCAUUUUCCCUAAAACAUCCGGUCUUAGGAGAAAAUAGUGAAAUUCUUAAAUGCAAUAAGUGGGGAAAGUUCAUGUUUUCCCAAUAUUCAAUAAAGCACCAAGAAAAAUAUACUGUGUUCAAUGGUUUAAUAUUACAAAUUUAGUUCUUACUUCACAA